rnacentral:rRNA from 1 species
GACAGAGGGUGCAAACGUUGUUCGGAAUUACUGGGCGUAAAGCGCGUGUAGGCGGCUUUGCAAGUCGGGUGUGAAAUCCCUCAGCUCAACUGAGGAAGUGCGCCCGAAACUGCUUAGCUUGAGUGCCGGAGAGGAUGGCGGAAUUCCCCAAGUAGAGGUGAAAUUCGUAGAUAUUGGGAAGAACACCGGUGGCGAAGGCGGCGACCUGGUCCUUUUACUGACGCUGAGGCGCGAAAGCGUGGGGAGCAAACAGG